GGUUCGAUGGCGUAGUUGGUUAUCGCAUCUGUCUAACAUGUCCAUAUCCCACUGGACCAGCACAGAAGGUCCCCAGUUCGAGCCUGGGUCGAAUCA